rnacentral:rRNA from 1 species
AUUGAACGCUGGCGGCAGGCCUAACACAUGCAAGUCGAACGAGUGGCGGACGGGUGAGUAAUGUCUGUGAAACUGCCCGAUGGCGGGGGAUAACUACUGGAAACGGUAGCUAAUACCGCAUACCAUCGGAUGUUCCCAGAUGGGAGUAGCUAGUAGGUGGGGUAACGGCUCACCUAGGCGACGAUCCCUAGCUGGUCUGAGAGGAUGAACAGACACACUGGAACUGAGAUACGUGCCAGACUCCUACGGGAGGCAGCAGGGGGGAAGAUGGCACAAUGGGCGAAAGCCUGAUGCAGCCAUGCAGCGUGUAUGAAGAAGGCCUUCGGGUUGUAAAGUACUUUCAGCGAGGAGGCGUUACUCGCAGAAGAAGCACCGGCUAACUCCGUGCCAGCAGCCGCGGUAAUAC